GUCAUCCUGUGAAAUCCUCUGGUCUAAUACAUCUGGGAAGGCUGUAAACACACAGGAGAAAGUCUGAGGAGUCUGCUAACUGUUCAAGUAAUUAUUUAUCACCGAUGGUGUCUUCAGCACCAAUCCCAGCACAGCCAUUAUGGAGCGUCCAGGAACAAAGGAAUUGCACAGAUUUUCUUUAGAAGAUGAAGAGAUUCUGGGAAAAUUAAUUGCCUGCUUCUGCAUUUGUUCAGUCUUCUCUUAUGGCUGGACUCUGUGAUGGCUGGAGAGAUACUGAAAGGAUGAUGUCAGACGAAUGGGAAAUGAAAGCUGAAGGACCAGGUGGAUCUCCAGAGCUCCAUAAAGGGGGAUCCCAUUCGAGAGAGUUGCUGCCAGAGAUUUACAAGGUGCAAGGGGAGUGAUGUGUUGUCUGUUAGAGACAGAAGGCAAGAGGAUAAUUAUAGUAUUGUCAUUUUUUAUUGCCACUAAAAGUGUGGGUUUAGUCUUCAAGGAGAUGGUAUUUCCUUGAAUCUGUCUUUUAUGCUCUGUCUUUUAAUUCUUUGUGAAAUAGAUAAAUUUUAUUACACUUUUCUCUUGGGCUGAAAUCACAGAGGAUGAGAAAAGCGAGAAGCUGAGUUCUAGAGUCUAACCAUCCCCCUUCAGUAUUGGACUACUCCUUGGUAAAAGGGAAGAAGAUGGGCACUCUUUCUCAAGUGUAGCCAACCUCACCAGGACAAUGGCAUGAUAUCUUCAUAGGUAAACUUGGGAAGUGGAGACUAGAUGAG
rnacentral:lncRNA from 1 species